rnacentral:rRNA from 1 species
AAACCCUACAGGCCCCACUGAAAGCCUGGCAAACACCGCCCCCAUUUAAGGCGUCGUGGACAUUUUGUUGGGUGCAUGGCCGACAGCCCUAGCUGUCAUCUGGGGGGGAGUAUCCGGGCCCGCACUCCAGGGGGCGCCUUCGGCUUCGGCCGCAGGCCCCACCCAGAGCGUACACGUUGGGACCCGAAAGAUGGUGAACUCCCCCCGGUCAGGACGAAGUCAGGGGAAACCCCUGAUGGAGGUCCGCAGCGAUUAUGACGUGCAAAUCGAUCGUCAGAGCUGGGUAUAGGGGCGAAAGACUAAUCGAACCAUCUAGUAGCUGGUUGCCUCCGAAGUUUCCCUCAGGAUAGCUGGUGUCCGUUUUGAGAGGAGACGAGUCUCAUCCGGUAAAGCGAAUGAUUAGAGGCCUUGGGGCCGAAACGACCUCAACCUAUUCUCAAACUUUAAAUGGGUGAGACCUCCGGCUUGCUUGAAGAAGCCGCGAGAUCUCGGUCAGGGGCCCAAGGGUUUCC